GACUCCGUGGCGCAAUGGUAGCGCGUCUGACUCCAGAUCGAGAAGGUUGCGUGUUCAAAUCACGUCGGGGUCA
rnacentral:tRNA from 2 species